CACUGCCCGUCGCUACUACCGAUUGAAUGGUUUAGUCAGGUCGUUGGAUUGGCGUCGUUGUAGUGGCUUUGCCACUCGAUUGAUGUUGAGAAGAUAACCUAAUUUGACUUUUUAGAGGAAGUAAAAGUCGUAACAAGGUUUCCGUAGGUGAACCUGCUGAAG
rfam:Schistosoma mansoni, Puerto Rico, WGS project CABG01000000 data, contig: 0193